rnacentral:rRNA from 1 species
GACGAACCGUGCAAACGUUGUUCGGAAUCACUGGGCUUAAAGGGCGCGUAGGCGGGCUCGCCAGUCAGGGGUGAAAGCCCACAGCUCAACUGUGGAAGUGCCUUUGAUACUGCGAGUCUCGAGGGAGGUAGGGGCGUGCGGAACUUCCGGUGGAGCGGUGAAAUGCGUAGAUAUCGGAAGGAACACCGGUGGCGAAAGCGGCGCGCUGGACCUCUUCUGACGCUGAGGCGCGAAAGCGUGGGGAGCGAACAGG